rnacentral:lncRNA from 1 species
CUGAAUGCACAUACACAGAUCGAACGGUCACAAUAACCUCUCAGUCACUAGUAAUAAUUCUGCAGAAUACUGCAGAAUUAUGAUCUCAUCCUAUUCUUUCCAUCUACAAGUCUUUUAUCAAUGCUCAAAACAUAUAUUCAAACCUGCAGUAAUAUCCAUAUCACAUAUACAUCAAAUAAUCAAACAAAACAUAGAAUUAUAAUUAAAUUAUACAAGCUU